GACCCCAUCACCCCUGGCCUGUGACAUUGCCCCCAAGCCUGCACCUGCAGGUCCUCAGCUUACCUGGCUGGCAGUACAGCAGGAACCAUGCCCAGCACCUGAAGAACCUUCAGAGAGGAUCUGUGUUAGUCAACCUUUCAUCUCGUGACAAAGCACCUGGGGAAAUCAACUCAGGCAGCCAGGGCCUGUGCAAGGAGGUAACUCAGGAAGACAACCGAUCCAGCACACAGCCAUGAAGGUUCCAGCCCAUCAUGGCAGGGAUCAUUUGGAAGAGCAGCAGCUCAGUUCAUGAUGCCACCCAGAGAAACCACAGGUCAACCUACAACGUGUGCUGCUGCGCCUGCACCACCUGUAUGAAGCAGGGGAGGACCCGGUACUGUCUCGGCCUGCUACAGUGGAUCUCAAGAUUGCACUUCGAGGACUAGGGUCUGUAGUGGCCGUGGAGGAACGCUCACUCACAGGGACCUGGGAUGUGCAGACGCUGCAGCGCUGGCACUGGAGGACAAAGAUUGGCCAGCUAAAAGG
rnacentral:lncRNA from 1 species